AUUGAACGCUGGCGGCAGGCCUAACACAUGCAAGUCGAGCGGGGUUUUCGGACCUAGCGGCGGCCGGGUGAGUAAUGCGUAGGAAGCUACCCGAUAGAGGGGGAUACCAGUUGGAAACGACUGUUAAUACCGCAUAAUGUCUACGGACCAAAGUGUGGGACCUUCGGGCCACAUGCUAUCGGAUGCGCCUACGUGGGAUUAGCUAGUUGGUGGGGUAAUGGCUCACCAAGGCGACGAUCCCUAGCUGGUUUGAGAGGAUGAUCAGCCACACUGGAACUGAGAAACGGUCCAGACUCCUACGGGAGGCAGCAGUGGGGAAUAUUGGACAAUGGGCGCAAGCCUGAUCAAGCCAUGCCGCGUGUGUGAAGAAGGCCUUCGGGUUGUAAAGCACUUUAAGUAGGGAGGAAGGGUGUUGUGUUAAUAGCACAGCAUUUUGACGUUACCUACAGAAGAAGCACCGGCUAACUCUGUGCCAGCCGCCGCCGUAAUAC
rnacentral:rRNA from 1 species